AUUGAACGCUGGCGGCAUGCCUUACACAUGCAAGUCGAACGGUAACAGGAGAGCUUGCUCUCUGGGUGGCGAGUGGCGGACGGGUGAGGAAUACAUCGGAAUCUACUCUGUCGUGGGGGAUAACGUAGGGAAACUUACCCUAAUACCGCAUACGACCUACGGGUGAAAGCAGGGGACCUUCGGGCCUUGCGCGAUUGAAUGAGCCGAUGUCGGAUUAGCUAGUUGGCGGGGUAAAGGCCCACCAAGGCGACGAGCCGUAGCUGGUCUGAGAGGAUGAUCAGCCACACUGGAACUGAGACACGGUCCAGACUCCUACGGGAGGCAGCAGUGGGGAAUAUUGGACAAUGGGCGCAAGCCUGAUCCAGCCAUACCGCGUGGGUGAAGAAGGCCUUCGGGUUGUAAAGCCCUUUUGUUGGGAAAGAAAUCCAGCUGGUUAAUACCCGGUUGGGAUGACGGUACCCAAAGAAUAAGCACCGGCUAACUUCGUGCCAGCAGCCGCCGUAA
rnacentral:rRNA from 1 species